AUUGAACGCUGGCGGCAGGCCUAACACAUGCAAGUCGAACGAGUGGCGGACGGGUGAGUAAUGUCUGGGAAACUGCCUGAUGGAGGGGGAUAACUACUGGAAACGGUAGCUAAUACCGCAUACCAUCGGAUGUGCCCAGAUGGGAUUAGCUAGUAGGUGGGGUAACGGCUCACCUAGGCGACGAUCCCUAGCUGGUCUGAGAGGAUGACCACCCACACUGGAACUGAGAUAGGGUCCAGGCGCCUACGGGAGGCAGCAGUGGGGAAUAUGGCACAGUGGGCGCAAGCCCUAUGCAGCCAUGUCGCGUGUAUGAAGAAGGCCUUCGGGUUGUAAAGUACUUUCAGCGGUGAGGCGUUACCCGCAGAAGAAGCACCGGCUAACUCCGUGCCAGCAGCCGCGGUAAUUC
rnacentral:rRNA from 1 species